rnacentral:rRNA from 1 species
UACGGAGGGUGCAAGCGUUAAUCGGAAUUACUGGGCGUAAAGCGCGCGUAGGCGGCUUUGUAAGUCGGAUGUGAAAGCCCCGGGCUUAACCUGGGAAUUGCAUUCGAUACUGCAUAGCUAGAGUAUGGUAGAGGGUAGCGGAAUUCCGGGUGUAGCGGUGAAAUGCGUAGAUAUCCGGAGGAACACCAGUGGCGAAGGCGGCUACCUGGACCAAUACUGACGCUGAGGUGCGAAAGCGUGGGGAGCAAAC